GUGCUCAAAUGGUAGCACAUAUACUAAAAAACUGGAAUGAUACAGAGAAAAUUAGCAUGGCCCAUGUGCAAGGAUGACGGGCAAUUUGUAAAUCAUCCUAUAUUUUU
rnacentral:snRNA from 1 species